rnacentral:rRNA from 1 species
UGCUCUUCUUGGAUGAGUUGCGAACGGGUGAGUAACGCGUAGGUAACCUGCCUUGUAGCGGGGGAUAACUAUUGGAAACGAUAGCUAAUACCGCAUAACAAUGGAUGACACAUGUCAUUUAUUUGAAAGGGGCAAUUGCUCCACUACAAGAUGGACCUGCGUUGUAUUAGCUAGUAGGUGAGGUAAUGGCUCACCUAGGCGACGAUACAUAGCCGACCUGAGAGGGUGAUCGGCCACACUGGGACUGAGACACGGCCCAGACUCCUACGGGAGGCAGCAGUAGGGAAUCUUCGGCAAUGGGGGCAACCCUGACCGAGCAACGCCGCGUGAGUGAAGAAGGUUUUCGGAUCGUAAAGCUCUGUUGUAAGUCAAGAACGGGUGUGAGAGUGGAAAGUUCACACUGUGACGGUAGCUUACCAGAAAGGGACGGCUAACUACGUGCCAGCAGCCGCGGUAAUACGUAGGUCCCGAGCGUUGUCCGGAUUUAUUGGGCGUAAAGCGAGCGCAGGCGGUUUGAUAAGUCUGAAGUUAAAGGCUGUGGCUCAACCAUAGUUCGCUUUGGAAACUGUCAAACUUGAGUGCAGAAGGGGAGAGUGGAAUUCCAUGUGUAGCGGUGAAAUGCGUAGAUAUAUGGAGGAACACCGGUGGCGAAAGCGGCUCUCUGGUCUGUAACUGACGCUGAGGCUCGAAAGCGUGGG